AGAAAGCCAGUUGUUAAAUAUUUAUCAGCACACUCCUCAACACUGCUUACUUUCAGAGCAAGAAGGCAAUUGGGGUUAAGUGACGUGCCCAAGGUCACACAGCUGGAAUCUGACUCAACCAGGCAGGAACUCUUAAAUUAUGGAUUAUCGAUGAGGAAACCCCGCAAAUAACCUCCAACUUGUGCUCAAAAAAAGGGAAUCAAAAAAACAGAAGUAAGUAUCUAGAAAUCAAGAUGUCUAGGAACUCCCAAUUUCGGAGUUAUCUCAGCAAGUGUAGGAUAGGCCAUGCUUACCAUGUGAUCCUGCUGUAAGUCAUGUAUCGGAGGUAGGGUGGGGGAAUGAGGGAAGAGAAAUCCUCUUCCUCCUCCUUUGCUGCACUCCAUUCUGGAAAUCCAAGGAAGUUAGAGUCAUUGAAAAGAGUCCUAAGGAGGUUCUGUUUCUGGGAACCAAGAUGGCAGAGUAAAAAGGUAGUCACUCUCACUCUCCCCUAUCAACCUCU